rnacentral:rRNA from 1 species
GACGAACGCUGGCGGCGUGCUUAACACAUGCAAGUCGAACGGUGACCCUCGGAGCUUGCUUCGGGGUGAGCAGUGGCGAACGGGUGAGUAACACGUGAGUAACCUGCCCCUGACUCUGGAAUAAGCGCUGGAAACGGCGUCUAAUACCGGAUACGACACGCCUCCGCAUGGGGAGCGUGUGGAAAGUUUUUCGGUCUGGGAUGGACUCGCGGCCUAUCAGCUUGUUGGUGAGGUAAUGGCUCACCAAGGCGAUGACGGGUAGCCGGCCUGAGAGGGCGACCGGCCACACUGGGACUGAGACACGGCCCAGACUCCUACGGGAGGCAGCAGUGGGGAAUAUUGCACAAUGGGCGAAAGCCUGAUGCAGCGACGCCGCGUGAGGGGUGACGGCCUUCGGGUUGUAAACCUCUGUCAGCAGGGAAGAAGCGAAAGUGACGGUACCUGCAGAAGAAGCACCGGCUAACUACGUGCCAGCCGCCGCGGUAAGAC